rnacentral:misc_RNA from 1 species
GAUAGUUACGGGCACCGUGACGAAUACCUCACCACGAGCUGCAUUACAAUUGUUACAGAUAAAGAAAAUGUAAACAAAGUGCAAAAGAACAAGUUAUAAAUGUUCAAUUUACGGCCAAAGCGAAAUAAAUUAUAUCGUCUGAAGAGAGCUAUAUACCUGCGAACUAGAAAGAACGGGAAACUGCAUGCGUUCAACUCACAAAUAAGUAACAUCGUAAUAUGGACUGGUAUACUGUUUGUCAUAUUGCUACUGCUAAGGGCCUUAUAUCUUAAUUAUAAAGAUCAGUAUAGCGAAUCGCAAUUAUGUUUCCGGAGAUAGAUGAGAAAAUAAGCAAUAAAUAUUAGACCUCU